CGGUUAAGUUAGAAAGGGCGCACGGUGGAUGCCUUGGCACUAGGAGCCGAUGAAGGACGGGACGAACACCGAUAUGCUUCGGGGAGCUGUAAGCAAGCUUUGAUCCGGAGAUUUCCGAAUGGGGAAACCCACCACUCGUAAUGGAGUGGUAUCCAUAUCUGAAUACAUAGGAUAUGAGAAGGCAGACCCGGGGAACUGAAACAUCUAAGUACCCGGAGGAAGAGAAAGCAAAUGCGAUUCCCUGAGUAGCGGCGAGCGAAACGGGACCAGCCCAAACCAAGAGGCUUGCCUCUUGGGGUUGUAGGACACUCUGUACGGAGUUACAAAGGAACGAGGUAGAUGAAGAGGUCUGGAAAGGCCCGCCAUAGAAGGUAACAGCCCUGUAGUCAAAACUUCGUUCUCUCCUGAGUGGAUCCUGAGUACGGCGGAACACGUGAAAUUCCGUCGGAAUCCGGGAGGACCAUCUCCCAAGGCUAAAUACUCCCUAGUGACCGAUAGUGAACCAGUACCGUGAGGGAAAGGUGAAAAGCACCCCGGAAGGGGAGUGAAAGAGAUCCUGAAACCGUGUGCCUACAAGUAGUCAGAGCCCGUUAACGGGUGAUGGCGUGCCUUUUGUAGAAUGAACCGGCGAGUUACGAUCCCGUGCAAGGUUAAGCAGAAGAUGCGGAGCCGCAGCGAAAGCGAGUCUGAAUAGGGCGAAUUGAGUACGUGGUCGUAGACCCGAAACCAGGUGAUCUACCCAUGUCCAGGGUGAAGUUCAGGUAACACUGAAUGGAGGCCCGAACCCACGCACGUUGAAAAGUGCGGGGAUGAGGUGUGGGUAGGGGUGAAAUGCCAAUCGAACCUGGAGAUAGCUGGUUCUCUCCGAAAUAGCUUUAGGGCUAGCCUCAAGGUAAGAGUCUCGGAGGUAGAGCACUGAUUGGACUAGGGGCCCCUACCGGGUUACCGAAUUCAGUCAAACUCCGAAUGCCGAUGACUUAUCCUUGGGAGUCAGACUGCGAGUGAUAAGAUCCGUAGUCGAAAGGGAAACAGCCCAGACCGCCAGCUAAGGUCCCAAAGUAUACGUUAAGUGGAAAAGGAUGUGGAGUUGCUUAGACAACCAGGAUGUUGGCUUAGAAGCAGCCACCAUUUAAAGAGUGCGUAAUAGCUCACUGGUCGAGUGACUCUGCGCCGAAAAUGUACCGGGGCUAAACGUAUCACCGAAGCUGCGGACUGUUCUUCGAACAGUGGUAGGAGAGCGUUCUAAGGGCUGUGAAGCAAGACCGGAAGGACUUGUGGAGCGCUUAGAAGUGAGAAUGCCGGUAUGAGUAGCGAAAGAGGGGUGAGAAUCCCCUCCACCGAAUGCCUAAGGUUUCCUGAGGAAGGCUCGUCCGCUCAGGGUUAGUCGGGACCUAAGCCGAGGCCGAAAGGCGUAGGCGAUGGAUAACAGGUUGAUAUUCCUGUACCACCUCCUCACCAUUUGAGCAAUGGGGGGACGCAGGAGGAUAGGGUAAGCGCGGUAUUGGAUAUCCGCGUCCAAGCAGUUAGGCUGGGAAAUAGGCAAAUCCGUUUCCCGUGAAGGCUGAGCUGUGAUGGCGAGCGAAUUAUAGUAGCGAAGUUCCUGAUUCCACACUGCCAAGAAAAGCCUCUAGCGAGGUGAGAGGUGCCCGUACCGCAAACCGACACAGGUAGGCGAGGAGAGAAUCCUAAGGUGAUCGAGAGAACUCUCGUUAAGGAACUCGGCAAAAUGACCCCGUAACUUCGGGAGAAGGGGUGCUCUGUUAGGGUGCAAGCCCGAGAGAGCCGCAGUGAAUAGGCCCAGGCGACUGUUUAGCAAAAACACAGGUCUCUGCGAAGCCGUAAGGCGAAGUAUAGGGGCUGACGCCUGCCCGGUGCUGGAAGGUUAAGAGGAGCGCUUAGCGUAAGCGAAGGUGCGAAUUGAAGCCCCAGUAAACGGCGGCCGUAACUAUAACGGUCCUAAGGUAGCGAA
rnacentral:rRNA from 1 species